UACGUAGGUGGCAAGCGUUGUCCGGAUUUACUGGGCGUAAAGCGUGCGCAGGCGGUUUUGUAAGCCAGAUGUGAAAUCCCCGGGCUUAACCUGGGAAUGGCAUUUGGGACUGCAAGGCUCGAGUGCGGCAGAGGAGACUGGAAUUCCUGGUGUAGCAGUGAAAUGCGUAGAUAUCAGGAGGAACACCGAUGGCGUAGGCAGGUCUCUGGGCUGACACUGACGCUCAUGCACGAAAGCGUGGGGAGCAAACGGG
rnacentral:rRNA from 1 species